rnacentral:rRNA from 1 species
UACGUAGGGUGCAAGCGUUGUCCGGAAUUAUUGGGCGUAAAGAGCUCGUAGGCGGUCUGUCGCGUCGGCUGUGAAAAACCCCGGGGGCUCAACCCCGGGCCUGCAGUCGAUACGGGCAGACUAGAGGUAUGCAGGGGAGAACGGAAUUCCUGGUGUAGCGGUGAAAUGCGCAGAUAUCAGGAGGAACACCGGUGGCGAAGGCGGUCUCUGGGCAUUACCUGACGCUGAGGAGCGAAAGUGUGGGGAGCGAACAGG